rnacentral:rRNA from 1 species
CCCCUAAACGAAUGGUCCCAGUUCAGAUUGCAGGCUGCAACCCGCCUGCAUGAAGUCGGAAUUGCUAGUAAUCGCGGAUCAGCAUGCCGCGGUGAAUACGUUCCCGGGCCUUGUACACACCGCCCGUCACACCAUGGGAGCCGGUAAUACCCGAAGUCAGUAGUCCAACCACGUGAGGACGCUGCCGAAGGUAGGAUUGGCGACUGGGGUGAAGUCGUAACAAGGUAGC